rnacentral:lncRNA from 1 species
CACACUACAUAUGCGCGUGUCUGAAGAUGAACAACUCCACCAACGUAGAGCGCACCCCAGGCGGGCUCCUCUACACCCGCCAAUGGAACAACAUGCAGUACGUCUCCACCGCGUCUUCCUACUCACGGUCUACUCGGACCACCUCCGCUCCACCAACCAGACUCUGAGCUGCCCCGCAAAUCCCGCAGUGGGGCCCCACGAGAUCCUCUCGUUGGUCAAAUCGCAGGUGGCCUACAUCCUCGGCUCCAACCCCAUGGGCCUCAGCUACCUGGUUGGCUACGGCCACACUACCCAAGAGGGUGCACCACAGAUGUGCAUCAAUGGCUUCCUACAGGGACACCAAGACCUUCGUCGGCUGCACCCAGGGCUACGAUCACUGGUACGGCCGCCCGGACCCCAACCCCAACGUUCUCGUUGGCGCCCUCGUCGGUGGGCCCGACAGCAAGGACGACUUCGACGAUACAAGAGGAAACUUCGUGCAAACUGAGGCUUGCACUUACAACACGGCUCCUCUCGUUGCCGUCUUCGCCAAACUGCAUACAACCACAUUGCUUUCUUCGGUGUAGUUAUAAGACUCACCAAAGUCUGUAUAGGAAUUUUGGAGGGUUUUUCUUUUUCAUAUAGUCAAAGCCAUGAGGCAAAUUGUAUCUCCAUACGAAAAAUAUUCUCUCUAUUAAAUUACCCAACUCAAGAUAUAGUGAUUUUUUUUAGAAUGGCUGUGUUGUGACGUUAUGCAACUUGUGCAUUUUCUAAGACGGUCGACUAUAUUUUUGUCCUUUUUUUCGAAGUAUGUCUAGCGUAACAAUAUAUUUUAUUCUGUUUUGAAUUUAGAAGGUCAAUAUCCAGAGUGGGUACGAAUGCCCUGGCCUCCGCAUUACAACACACGAGGAUCAAGUUCAAGAAAAUCAUCUGAGGCAUAUUUCUUCAACAAUUCUCAAGGACUACUUUCGAGAAUUAUCAAAUUGAAGAGAAAUCAAAUAGAUAUAAUUAAGGUUUACAAUAUAUUCUAAAUCUUUUCUUGGUUCGAGAGGAUCACAUAGAUAUAUUUUAACGCAAUCGUGGACUAGGUGAAAGGGGAUUUUCAAUAUUAACUCUUCUCUAACUCAUGCUUGCAUUUAUCAUCACCAUUCAACGUAGAUAUAUAUUUGUUUCGUGCCAACUACAAGUUGUAACCACCGAUCCUUCCACCGACAGAGCAUAAUCAUAAUCAUAACUGAAGAUUUGAGCAACGAAGGACAAACACACAUGGGUUGUGCAUCAAAUUAAUGAUGGGCUCAGUAUAUAUUCAUUGAGCAUUUACUUGAAGAGGAGAAGAUACUAGACAAUGCUAACACAUAAUUAAAGAGUUAGAAUUCAUGAUAGGUGGAGUGACUUUACUCUGUGAUCAUAGUGCUCCCAUUCUGACUGCUCAACUACUACUCACAAACUUCCAAAAACACAGCAGCCUUGCUAUAAUUUGCCACCACGUACCUAAUGGUUUGCCCAUUAAUUUUUUAAUAAGUGCACUACUUACUUGAAUAAGCACAAGCCAGAAAAAGAAGAAAAGCCUUGAACAAGGCAUAGAAAGAAGUCAAAAGCUAUAUGCUCAUCAUCUAAACCGUACAUCCUUUUGCAAUCAUAUGCACUAGAUUUCACAAACAGUUUUAUGCAAAUACACAUAGGUCAGUACUUCAGAGUUUUGAUUUUCAUUUGCCACUAUCAUCCUUUUAAUUUGCAAUCAUAGUUGGUGGACAUCGUGUACCACCAAAUAAUUCCUGCAAUCUUACCAAGAAUUAAAUGCGUAUAGUAACAAGCAGGGUCGAACCACAGAGAACGGGUAAUUGCAAUCAAAUUCCUAAAGAUCUAAUUUUUGGUGUAGCCACCACGCCUUAAAAUUAAGAGGAUGAUUAAUUAUAACUAAGAAAAUAAACAAAGCACAAAAAUAUUCUAGAAAACAAUUAAUGAAAGGUAACUCGGCUCGAAUAAAUCCAUAUCAAUUUAAUACUCUGAUCAUCGACGCAAAAAUUAAUUAAUCCAUAUCAACCAACUAGUUAUAGAAUACCGUGAUACGCACUGACAUACCCCAAUUCCUACUUACUGUGUAGAUAGACGGCUGGAUACGCCAGUCCUGCCUAUUUCCCUUAUUAAAAUAUAAACUAGCUGGAUACGUCAGUCAUAGAUUUAAUAUUCUAAUAGCAUUAAGAGGAAGGAACCCAGUUUAGACCAAUUAUCCUAGAUACGUUAGUAAUAAUUAAUCCACCAAUUUAUUCUUACUACGAACAUGGUAGCUUUAUCACUAAUAAGCCAUAUUCCAACAAUUACGGAUUGAAGGUGCUAAUUGACUGUAAUCCAAUUAAACCUAAGUUGGCCAGACUUAAAUAAAAUCAGAAUUACCUUUAAACCCUAGGAAUAAAUCGAAAUCAAUAGGAAUCAAUUAUAUGCUCAAUUAGGUCUCACAGAUUAAUAAAUUAAUACUUCAUUAUUCUCACUGAAUUAAGAAAUUAGCUAUUCAUAAUUAAAACUAGAACAAUCAAAUAAAUAAAAGCAAACAUAAAAUAAAUAAAAUUGGAAUUAAAAUAUAAAAGUCACCACUUGAGGAAUUAAGGGAAGAAACGCCCACUGCACUUGAUCUCCCCAAAACCAAACGCUAGUUCCAAGAGAGAAAUUUAAUUGCCUAACUAAUCUUCUAAUCUAAUGAAAUAAAAACGUAUGUCCCAAAAACUAAAACUAAUAUAUAUAUAUAUGGGGGCAGUUAUUCAAUAAACCACCCUUAUUUUAAGAAUUACGAACCAGCAAAAAUGCAUGAAUUUUAUGUAUAACACGCAUGAAUAAACUGUAUAAAGGCAUGAAUUGCGAAAAAUAAUUUUUUGCUACUUUUGGGAUUCGAACUUAGGACCAUGAAUUUAUCCAACAAGGUGAUGAAUCAACCAUAGAUCUUGAUGAUCUAAGGGCUGAAAAUGGUUCCUAAUUUAUAUUUUAAGAAGCGUUCUUAUUUUAGCCUUCCCCUAUAUAUAUAUAUAUAUAUAUAUAUAUAGAUAAUAUAUAGAAUAAUAUUAAAAAAUUUACAUUAAAGUUANUUUUAAUGUAAUUGGCAUAUGGUGAUGUUCAAUUUAGGAUGAAAUUGAUAAGAAAGUAUAGUAUCAUUAAAACAAAGUAGCAUGUAGUAAUGGAAUGAUAUUAUAUUGAUGCUUGAAACAGUAAUUUGCAGUUGAUUAAUAGAUCAUACUAAAUUAGAAAAAUUGAUAGUAAUUUUGUAUGGGGCAUGCAGUUGUUUGAGUUUGGGGAUAAGUAUAGAGGUAAAUACGACAAGAGCAUCGGAGGGGCGAAGGGGUAUUAUACGUCGGUGAGCGGAUAUAUGGAUGAGUUGUUGUGGGCAGCUAUGUGGUUAUACAAAGCCACCGACAAUCUACGCUUCUUCAAUUAUACCAUUCAUAAUGCCAUUUCCUUUGGUGGGAUCACUUGGCCCAUCACUGAAUUCAGCUGGGAUGUUAAGUAUGCUGGUCUCCAACUCAUCGCCUCUAUGGUAAUUCCUCUCUCUCUCAAAGUUUAUUUUAACCUUGAAAAUAUCAUUCAAUAAAUAUGCAUGCAUAUGCAUAUGCAUAUGCGUAUGCUUGGUGUGAGAGAGGAAAGGGUUUGAGAAAUAUUUAUGUCUAGUCGGAUAGUGUCGGUCGUGAUUUAGCACAUUUUGAUUUAAUGGGAGUUGCCCCUCCACACUCAAGUUUGCUCUUUGGUUAUUUAUCAACUCCGUUAUUUUCUAAUUUGUCAACACCUACGCGUCUUUUCUUUUUCUUUUUUUCUAACCUCACGAUAUUAAAAGGAUCAUUUAGAAAUGAAACACUUCUUGAUUACGAAUUUAAGUAAUUCACUUGAACUAAAAUCAACCAACUUCUCAACAUAAAAAAAAAGGUUCCAAGAAAAUGCGAAAGUGCUUUCAUGAUGGCGUAAUCACUAAGCUCUGUCUCUUUAAUGGGAUCCAGUAAAACUAAAUUAAGAUUCUCUUUACAAGUUAUUUACUUAUAAUUAGGGGGAAAAAGGUCAAUCUCAGUCUCUCUUACAACUACACAUGCAGCAGUAGCGGAGCCACGUGUAUGAAUAAUGAGCUAGGCAAUUGUCUCUUGUCAAAUUAGUUAUAAUUAAAAUUACGAAAACAUAAAAAUAAAAAGAAAUAGGGAUAUAGAAUAAAGUUUGUAAAUUGGUGCAGUUGAGAAGGGAGGGGAAAAGCGAAGAAGAGAGGCAGAUCCUGGAAGAAUACAGCUCGAAAGCAUCACACUACAUAUGCGCGUGUCUGAAGAUGAACAACUCCACCAACGUAGAGCGCACCCCAGGCGGGCUCCUCUACACCCGCCAAUGGAACAACAUGCAGUACGUCUCCACCGCAGUCUUCCUACUGACGGUCUACUCGGACCACCUCCGCUCCACCAACCAGACUCUGAGCUGCCCCCCAAAUCCCGCAGUGGGGCCCCACGAGAUCCUCUCGUUGGUCAAAUCGCAGGUGGCCUACAUCCUCGGCUCCAACCCCAUGGGCCUCAGCUACCUGGUUGGCUACGGCCACGACUACCCUAAGAGGGUGCACCACAGAUGUGCAUCAAUGGCUUCCUACAGGGACACCAAGACCUUCGUCGGCUGCACCCAGGGCUACGAUCACUGGUACGGCCGCCCGGACCCCAACCCCAACGUUCUCGUUGGCGCCCUCGUCGGUGGGCCCGACAGCAAGGACGACUUCGAUGAUAGAAGAGGAAACUUCGUGCAAACUGAGGCUUGCA